ACGGAAGCGCGGUAAGGCCAAGGCCACGCCGGAAGAGAAGGCGUAGUCUCCCGAGCCGAGCUCCCCAGCACGGAUCCCGGCACCCACGCGGAGCACAUACCGCGAUAGAGGUAAAAGUGUUGCGGGCCUGCGGAAUUGCGAUAGCGGAUGACAUCGACGGUCCUUUGGGUGGGAUCGCAGACACAGCGCACCGCAAGAACGCCGAGGCCACCCACGCAACCCACAGAGCACGCUUGGUAACCGGAGUCCGUGCUAGCGGGCGGCGAGCCGAAUCAGAUGCAGGUCUGAUACCGGAGCGCCGCCCGUUUUUAUGU
rfam:Mycobacterium cosmeticum, DSM 44829, WGS project CCBB01000000 data, contig: 000001